rnacentral:lncRNA from 1 species
GCCCUAGUCUUCGCCUUUCACCCAUUACAGAUGCUCAGUUCUCACCAUAUGUAGGUGGAAUGGCUUUCUCUCCUACUUCAUCUCCAGGCUAUAGCCCAUCAUCCCCUGGUUACAGUCCAUCAUCCCCUGGUUACAGUCCUACGUCUCCUGGAUACAGCCCUACCUCACCUGGUUAUAGCCCCACCUCACCUGGAUACAGCCCAACUUCGCCAACUUAUAGCCCUAGUUCUCCUGGCUAUAGCCCUACCAGUCCUGCCUAUUCUCCUACAAGUCCAUCGUAUUCCCCAACUUCCCCUAGUUACAGCCCAACUUCUCCCAGCUAUAGCCCAACAUCUCCAAGUUAUAGUCCAACCUCUCCAAGCUAUAGCCCCACAUCUCCCAGUUACAGCCCAACUUCACCAAGCUAUAGCCCUACAUCUCCAGUAUAUAGUCCCACUUCACCUGCAUAUAGUCCCACUUCGCCUGCAUACAGUCCUACCUCACCAUCAUACAGCCCAACUUCUCCUUCCUAUAGCCCAACGUCACCUUCCUAUAGCCCAACCUCGCCUUCUUACAGCCCCACAUCUCCAUCAUACAGUCCAACUUCACCUGCUUAUAGCCCGACAUCCCCUGGUUACAGUCCAACCUCACCAAGCUAUAGCCCAACAUCGCCAAGCUAUAGCCCGACCUCACCCAGUUACAAUCCUCAGUCAGCUAAAUACAGUCCGUCACUGGCAUACUCACCUAGCAGUCCAAGAUUGUCACCGUCGAGUCCUUACAGCCCCACGUCUCCAAAUUAU